rnacentral:rRNA from 1 species
GACGAACGCUGGCGGCGUGCUUAACACAUGCAAGUCGAACGUGAUUUUUGUGGAAAUUCUUUCGGGAAUGGAAAUGAAAUGAAAGUGGCGAACGGGUGAGUAACACGUGAGCAACCUACCUUACACAGGGGGAUAGCCGUUGGAAACGACGAUUAAUACCGCAUGAGACCACAGAAUCGCAUGAUAUAGGGGUCAAAGAUUUAUCGGUGUAAGAAGGGCUCGCGUCUGAUUAGCUAGUUGGAAGGGUAAAGGCCUACCAAGGCGACGAUCAGUAGCCGGUCUGAGAGGAUGAACGGCCACAUUGGAACUGAGACACGGUCCAAACUCCUACGGGAGGCAGCAGUGGGGAAUAUUGCACAAGGGGGGGAACCCUGAGGCAGCGUCGCCUCGUGAGUUAAGAAGGUUUUCGAAUCGUAAAGCUCUGUCCUAUGAGAAGAUAAGGACUGGUUCAUAGGAGGAAGCCCCGUCUGAAUAUGUGCCUGCAUGUUCGGUAAUUUUUUGGGGCUUGUGUUGGCUGGGAAUUUUGGGAGGUGAGGGUAGUAAGCUUUUUUGUAUGUUUGGUGUGGAAGGGUGGGGUUGAUCUGGUGUUGUUCUGUGUGGUGUUUGUCUUGGUGUGGUG